rnacentral:lncRNA from 1 species
GCUUUUUCUUCUGCCUGGAAGGCCAUCUCUUCUCUUGUUUAUCUCAUGCAUUUCCCACUAAUUCUUAAAGAUUUCAUUCAAGUGUUACUCUCUCUGAAGACUUCUUUUGUCCUGCUCCCUCAUCUUCCAAAACUUUGUGCUCGUAUCAGCAUCUCCUUAAUUACACUGGAUUGAAAUUAUCUCUGUGGGAUGACAUCUCAGAGAACCCAAACAUCUGAAGGAGGGAGAACACAAAAAUCACAAGAGAAACCCAAAGGAGAUCUGAAAAGGCGCCCGCCUGAGGCAACCCACACUCACAUAAGCUUCCAUUAUGCAUGAAGUUGCUGAGAAUCUUUGCAAUGGCUCAUGGGAGAUCUAUUUACAUGGAUUUUGUUACAGAAGCUAACCACAUUUUGAGUCAGACAGAGUGGUGUCUGAUGUUAAAUAAAUAAAUAAAAAUUUCCCUUGUGAAAAACCAUCUCUUCUAGUCAGGGGCAGUCACUGGUGUGACUCAUGACCUUGAAGCUGCAUUUGAACUUGAUGGAAGAUGGUCAUUAGUCCACCUAAAGACCUGAUCAUGGUUUUUGACUUCUAGAGCACAGUUAUUUUUUUGUUAAUGCUGGGAAUUUGCAGUGAGACAUUCACACACACACAUUUUUCUUUUCUUUUGUCUUCUUUUAUACACUAUGUUUGGAAGGAAUUUCAAGAGGGCUUCAAUUUGUUGAAAGAGGUUGCCUCUUUAUGGGGUAGGAGGUGGGACUCAACUCAAGAGGCAGGGCUCGGCUCUGGACCACAUUGAAGACUGGCUCUAUAAGGCAGGCCUUCCAAUAUCAUGACAGUUUACUCAUUUUCUGGAAACAACCCUACCUGGAAGUUACCACUCCUUUUUCUAGAAAUUUCCGAAUAGCCUGCCCCCUAAUUUGCACAUAAUUAAAAGUGAAUAUAAAUGUGGUUGUAGAACUGCCCUGAGCUGCUACUCUUGACACACUGCCUAUGGGGCAGCCCUACUCUGCAGCAGCAGUCAUGAAGCUCUAAUACUACUCCCUCAAUAAAGCUGUUUCCUUCCACCACUGGCUCGCCC